CGGGCCCAGCCAUCGCCCCGCGACCCACGGAACUCCAAGAGGCGACGCCCGCCGCUGCCUGACUGAGCCCCACCCGGCCCGGCUCACCGCCCGCAGGUGAGGCCCCGCCCUUCCGCCAGCUGUAUAUGUUUCUCCUUCCCAGAGGCUAGUGAAGAUUAGAAGGCAAAAAAAACGCACUCGUGAUGAAAUGUUCUCUGACCUCAUGCUGUCCUCCCACACUGACAGAGCACAGCAAAAUACGUGGAGGCAGACAAUCUCAGAGUGCAGGAAAACACAGUUUGACCGCGAGGAGAGGUGGAGGGCUGAAGAUGGUAGGUGGCGUCAGCUUGCUGAAGGAAGGCAGGAGUCAAUGCUCAAGCUGCUGGAGGAUCAAACUCGUAUGCUCCAUUAUAUGGUUGAGCUGCAGAAAAGGCAAAAGGAGCACAGACCACUGCUACAGCCCCUGUGUAACCAACUGCCCUCCUCCCCAAGUUCCAUAGCCUCCUCACCAAGACACCCAAGAACGUGGUGGGGGGGGCCUCCAGCCACCCAGCCACUCCACCCCAGAGAAUUGCCCAAGCAACAGAAGGCUGGCAUUCAAUAAGUUUUAAAGUUUUAAAGUGCUGUGUGGCCUUGUCCUUCCCUCCUCCACCACCCCUCCCGGUGCUUCCCUCCUCCACCACCCCGCCUGGGCUACCUUGGCAGUUAUCCCCCUAUUUGUGUGAUGAAUAAAUAAAGAAUGUAUGAAUGUGAA